UCUUUUCAACGCUUUUACAUUUACUCAUUUAUUUUAUUAAUUCAAUUUCUUAAUAUAUCUUUAUAUAUAUACAUAUUUUUUUUCUUACAACCGAAGUUAUGCACCACAAUGUGAACACUGUAAGCGCAUAUGGAACAAAAUAAUGCAUUUAAAAUAUGAAAUACAAAAUGAUAAUAAAAAGAAAGUAUAUUUUGGUGAAGUAAGUUUAAAAUAAAUAUAACUAAGCAAUAUGAAAGAGUUGUAUAAUUCAACUGUUUAAAAAAAAAAAAAAAAAAAAAAAAAAAAAAACAUACAUAAUACAUAUAUACAUACAUACAUACAUAUAUACAUACAUAUAUACAUACAUACAUACUACAUACAUAUAUACACACACCUAUAAAUAUAUAUAAAUAUAGACGUAUAGAACUAUAUAUAAAAACAGUUACUAUUAGCUAUAUCUACACGUACGUAUAUAUGUGACAUCUUUAUAUAUUAGGUAAAUUGUGCUGAUACAAAUGGACGAAGUAUUUGUGAAGAAUACUCGGUUGUAAAAAUACCACAAUUAAAAAUGUAAGUUAAUAAUUAUGACAAAAUGACACACACAUGUAUAUAAUAUAUAUAUAUAUAUAUAUAUAAUUCAUUACCUACGUACAUAUAAACAAAACACAUUCAUCACAUUUUACUUUUACAGGUUUAAAGGAAACAAAUUAUUAGGAACGUAUUCAAAUGAUAUAAUGAAUGAAAGUCUUAUAAAAAAAUGGAUAUAUUAUGUUACAAUGUAAAUUAGGAAAGAAAAAGAAAAAUUAUUUUAGUUAUUUUUAAUAUUUUUUACAUUACAUAAAAAUAAUUUUUAUGUAAUUAUUUUUUCUGUCCAUAAAAUAGUUUACUAUCGUUUUUUUCUAAAAUUAUACAGUCCUAUAUUUCAUGGAGUGCAUUCAGAAGAAGAAUUAAAUGAAUUUAAAACUGGAGAUAAUUUUUUUCUCACUUGUCUAGAACACCCAAAUGAUGUUUUAAUAAAAGUGGCUAAAUUGUAUUAUGAUGAGUGUUAUUUUAUUAACAUUCAAAAUCAGGAACUGUGUGAUAAGUUAAAUAUUAAAAACAACCAGUUGCAAGUUAAAGGGAAAUAUGAGCAUUCAUUUUAUAACCUUGAUGAACUAGUAUAAACAUAUCUUUUCAAAAAACAUUUUUUUUUUUUUUUUUUUUGAUUUUAAUUGAAUAUUUUACAGGAUUUUGAAAAAGUUAAAUCUUUUGUAAAUAAAAAUAGGUUUCCUAUAGUAAGUGAGGUCA
rnacentral:lncRNA from 1 species